GUGUCAGCAGCCGCGGUAAUACGUAGGGUGCGAGCGUUGUCCGGAAUUACUGGGCGUAAAGAGCUCGUAGGUGGUUUGUCGCGUUGUUCGUGAAAUCUCACGGCUUAACUGUGAGCGUGCGGGCGAUACGGGCAGACUUGAGUACUGCAGGGGAGACUGGAAUUCCUGGUGUAGCGGUGGAAUGCGCAGAUAUCAGGAGGAACACCGGUGGCGAAGGCGGGUCUCUGGGCAGUAACUGACGCUGAGGAGCGAAAGCGUGGGGAGCGAACAGGAUUAGAAACCCCUGUAGUCC
rnacentral:rRNA from 1 species